GAUGAACGCUGACAGAAUGCUUAACACAUGCGAGUCUACUUGAACUUCGGUUUGGGUGGCGGACGGGUGAGUAACGCGUAAAGAACUUGCCUCACAGAUAGGGACAACAUUUGGAAACGAAUGCUAAUACCUGAUAUUAUGAUUUUAGGGCAUCCUAGAAUUAUGAAAGCUAUAUGCACUGUGAGAGAGCUUUGCGUCCCAUUAGCUAGUUGGAGAGGUAACGGCUCACCAAGGCGAUGAUGGGUAGCCGGCCUGAGAGGGUGAUCGGCCACAAGGGGACUGAGACACGGCCCUUACUCCUACGGGAGGCAGCAGUGGGGAAUAUUGGACAAUGGACCAAGAGUCUGAUCCAGCAAUUCUGUGUGCACGAUGAAGUUUUUCGGAAUGUAAAGUGCUUUCAGUUGGGAAGAAAAAAAUGACGGUACCAACAGAAGAAGUGACGGCUAAAUACGUG
rnacentral:rRNA from 1 species